rnacentral:rRNA from 1 species
UACAGAGGUCCCAAGCGUUGUUCGGAUUCACUGGGCGUAAAGGGUGCGUAGGUGGUGAGGUAAGUCGGAUGUGAAAUCUCCAAGCUCAACUCGGAAAUGGCAUUGGAAACUACCUUGCUAGAGGGUUGGAGGGGGGACUGGAAUACUUGGUGUAGCAGUGAAAUGCGUAGAUAUCAGGAGGAACACCGAUGGCGAAGGCAGGUCUCUGGGCUGACACUGACGCUCAUGCACGAAAGCGUGGGGAGCAAACAGG